rnacentral:rRNA from 1 species
GAUGAACGCUGGCGGCGUGCUUAACACAUGCAAGUCGAACGAUGAAGCCCAGCUUGCUGGGUGGAUUAGUGGCGAACGGGUGAGUAACACGUGAGUAACCUGCCCUUAACUCUGGGAUAAGCCUGGGAAACUGGGUCUAAUACCGGAUAGGAGCGUCCACCGCAUGGUGGGUGUUGGAAAGAUUUAUCGGUUUUGGAUGGACUCGCGGCCUAUCAGCUUGUUGGUGAGGUAAGGGCUCACCAAGGCGACGACGGGUAGCCGGCCUGAGAGGGGGACCGGCCACACUGGGACUGAGACACGGCCCAGACUCCUACGGGAGGCAGCAGUGGGGAAUAUUGCACAAUGGGCGAAAGCCUGAUGCAGCGACGCCGCGUGAGGGAUGACGGCCUUCGGGUUGUAAACCUCUUUCAGUAGGGAAGAAGCGAAAGUGACGGUACCUUCAGAAGAAGCACCGGCUAACUACGUG